AUGCACGCGGGUUUUGCUGUCAGGGAAGGCUCCAAGUUUAAGACCAGAGCCUACCUUUAUUGCACGUGCUAUGGAGUCUAUCAUUCGAAGGUGUCUGAAGCAAAUAGACAGCGGAACAAAACGACAGCCAGGACUAACUGCAGGGCUAAAAUGAGGCUGAAGAUUGAAAAGGAUGGAACACUUAUCAUAAAAGAGAUAGUCUGGGAACACAACCACAGGCUACAGCUCACUCCGCAAAUGCUUGUCUUGCACUCCCACAAAAACUUUGAUAAAACAAUCUUGGAUUACGUCAAGUACCUGCAGUUCAAAGGCAUUGAACACGCGCAAAUCAUGAGCAUACUAGGCGGUGAUGACCCUAGUAGCUACUUCCUUGAAAUGAAUGCCAAAGACCUGAUUAACCUGAAAGCAAAAAAUUCAAGGAUGGAUGAUGUGGACGAUGUCCUAAAGACUGUCAACUUCUUUAGGGAGAUGAAAGCUAUAAACAGGGAAUUCUUCUGUGACAUGCAACUCGAUGAGUCCGAUAGAGUUAAGAACAUAUUCUGGGCGAAUGCAAGCUGCCGAGGGGCCUAUCAGGACUUCGGUGACUGCGUAACAUUUGACACCACAUAUAAGACCAACAAGUACCAUAUGCCACUUGGGGUGUUUGUCGGUACUAACAACCACUUCCAGACUACAUUCUUUGGUUUCGCCCUGAUAAGAGAUGAGGAUGCAGAAUCAUUCAGAUGUUAUCAGUGCCCAGCAAUGGCUUUGGCGAUACCAAAAGUUUUCAAGAACACAAUACACAAGCUGUGCCGCUGGCACAUUAUGAAGAAGUACAGGGAACACGUCACAUACCUGUACUACCUGCACGAAGACUUCAACGAAGAAUUCACAUCAAUCCUCAACUGGCCCCUCAUGCCAACUGAGUUUGAGGAUGCCUGGAAAGGACUCAUCGAUAGGUACAACCUCCAUGAUGUUGCCACGAUGCUGGCCAUGUGGAAUGAGCGUGAGAAAUGGAUAUCAGCCUACUUCAAAGAAAUUUUCUGCACCAAAAUGACAUCCACACAGCGAAGUGAGAGCAUGAACUAUGUGCUCAAGAAGAACUUUGUAAGUGAGAGACAAAACCUACACCGUAAAACUUUAUUAGUUAGACAAGUUUUUUCUACGAGAAAACUAACAAUUUGGUCAUCAUUCUUGUAUGUGCAGAAGGAACAAAACACGCUGACCUUCUAUGGGUUUGACACCCAGAUGGCAAAGGUUUACUCGCGAGCUGUGUACAGUGAGAUCAGAAAAAGGCUAAAACUAAGCACACUCUUCACGAAGACAGAGACGGAAGAGACCACAAAGUACCUCAUGCGCUACAACAACCCGCAAAAACUGUCUGCAUGGUCUCAGCACGCGUUCCAGGUGGUUGCAGACCCUGUGGGAUAA
rnacentral:rRNA from 1 species